rnacentral:rRNA from 1 species
CAGUCGCCACGGGAAUACGUAGGGCGCAAGCGUUGUCCGGAAUUAUUGGGCGUAAAGAGCUCGUAGGCGGUCUGUCGCGUCUGGUGUGAAAUCCCGAGGCUCAACCUCGGGCUUGCAUCGGGUACGGGCAGACUAGAGUGCGGUAGGGGAGACUGGAAUUCCUGGUGUAGCGGUGGAAUGCGCAGAUAUCAGGAGGAACACCGAUGGCGAAGGCAGGUCUCUGGGCCGCAACUGACGCUGAGGAGCGAAAGCAUGGGGAGCGAACAGGAUUAGAUACCCGGGUAGUCCCUGUCUCUUAUAC